rnacentral:misc_RNA from 1 species
GGAAGGAUCAUUAACACGUAUCCACGUAUCAACCCUUUGUGCUCUUUGUUUACUGUAAUUGUCUGUCCGCGUGGAAACUUCGACUGUCCUUGACGAGGGAACGUGAAUGGUGGUUUAGCACUUGUGUUAAACUGUUCUCUGUCUCGAACUGGAGUUUUCUACCAAACAUGCGGCGGUUCAAUUCGACAUAUGUCAACCAUUCGGCAUUUUUCUUUUAAUACACCCUUUGUUAAACACAUCUUGCUAACGCAAUUUGAAAGUGUCGGGCCCUUUGGGUCUUGGACUAUUUCAAUAUUACGAAAUGCUUGACAACUCUUAGCAACGGAUAUCUUGGUUCUCGUAACGAUGAAGAACGCAGCGAAAUGCGAUACGUAAUGCGAAUUGCAGAAUUCAGUGAAUCAUCAAAUCUUUGAACGCAAAUUGCACUCUCGGGAUAUACCUGGGAGUACGCUUCUUUGAGUAUCGGUUCUAACACAAAUCGACAGCGUUUUUACCUACGUGAUAACGUGUAGUCGGAAAAUGAGUGUCUCAGUGAAAAAAACCACUGUGUCACUUUAAAAGCAUUGAGUGUUUUUCAGCUCUAGUGCUUCUUUGGUGGGUUCUCCUUCGGGGGUUUCUGCCAAGCCUUUUCGGUUCGAAAGGGUCUUGAACUAGGGACGUGGAUAAUUUCACCCUUGUGUGAAUACAUUCCAAUACGUCAUCUUAGGUCUUGAUCACGAGUAAGCCUUGGAUGUCGGAAGUGCUAAACUUAUGGGUUGAGAAAGGCGGACGGAAGUGUAGACUGUUGUGUGUCUCUCUUCGGAGGGACGCACUUGUCUUAUCUUGAAUUAGAUCUCAGAUGAAGUGAGAAAACCCGCUGGAUUUAAGCAUAUUAUUAAGCGGAGGAAAAGAAACUAACAAGGAUUCCCUUAGUAACGGCGAGUGAAGUGGGAAAAGCUCAACUUGAAAAUCGGUGUACCAAACGGUGCUCCGAGUUGUAGUCUAGUGACGCAUGAUCAGUGUGCGCCGCGGUUAUAAAUCUUUUGAAACAAGGUAUCAUAGAGGGUGAGAAUCCCGUUCAUGAACCGCAGUGUGCCACGUACGAUCUGUGUUCGAAGAGUCGAGUUCUUUGGGAUUGGAGCUCAAAAUGGGUGGUAAAUUUCAUCUAAAGCUAAAUAUCGACGAGAGACCGAUAGCGAACAAGUACCGUGAGGGAAAGAUGAAAAGAACUUUGAAAAGAGAGUUAAAAAGUACUUGAAAUUGUUAAGAGUGAAGCACUGGAAACCAGUUGUACCUUUUGUUCAUAUUUACUUUCUGCCGGCUUCCAGGGAUGUGUAUGAGAGGGCAACCCCUCGUAUGUGUCUCUCAGGGCCGGUGGAUGGGUCCUGUGGACUUUAGGUGGGUCAGAAUCAAUUCGCUUCGACGGAGAAAACCUGGGGGAAGGUAGGAGAGACGAUUUCGGUUGUUUCUCUGUUAUAGACCCUGGGCGAUACGUUGGGGUGGAUUGAGGAUUCGACAACACGCGCUUUCUUGGCUCGGUACCCGUCUUCUGCCGUGCGGGUCGCCACGGACAGCAAAGCUGUGCGUGCGACGUAGUGCGGUACUGGGGCGGAUCUACCAGACGCGGCGUUCGCGAUUCUGACGAAAUGGUUUUCAAUGACCCGUCUUGAAACACGGACCAAGGAGUCUAACAUAUAUGCGAGUAUUUGGGUGGCAAACCCUUGUGCGUAAUGAAAGUAAAGGUCGCUUCUGCGGCUGAGGUAGGAACCCGGAGUUUCGGCUUUGGGAGCACUAUCGACCGAUCAGUCACUUGUGAAAGAUUUGAGUAAGAGCAUAUCUGUUGGGACCCGAAAGAUGGUGAUCUAUGCCUGAACAGGGCGAAGUCAGGGGAAACCCUGAUGGAGGCUCGUAGCGAUACUGACGUGCAAAUCGUUCGUCUGAUUUGGGUAUAGGGGCGAAAGACUAAUCGAACCAUCUAGUAGCUGGUUCCCUC